ensembl:ncRNA F56F3.14 ncRNA
CAUGAACCUCCUUGACCUUUUUUGCUUCCAUUUUCCCAAUGUUAAAAACAAAAACUAGAGCCUGUUAUGCUCGAGUGAAUAAAAGAAUCAAAACGAAUGAAAGGAUUAGACCAUACCUAUGCAACAUGUCUCCAUGUGCUC